rnacentral:rRNA from 1 species
GCUGACGAGUGGCGGACGGGUGAGUAAUGUCUGGGAAACUGCCUGAUGGAGGGGGAUAACUACUGGAAACGGUAGCUAAUACCGCAUAACGUCGCAAGACCAAAGAGGGGGACCUUCGGGCCUCUUGCCAUCRGAUGUGCCCAGAUGGGAUUAGCUAGUAGGUGGGGUAACGGCUCACCUAGGCGACGAUCCCUAGCUGGUCUGAGAGGAUGACCAGCCACACUGGAACUGAGACACGGUCCAGACUCCUACGGGAGGCAGCAGUGGGGAAUAUUGCACAAUGGGCGCAAGCCUGAUGCAGCCAUGC